GAAACUGAGUGCAUCUAUAGACAAUACGCUUCCACCGUUUGAAACCGAGAACCCCUACUACUACAUCCUCCCACAGCCUCUCCCGCCUCCUCCAGCCAGAGGCUGCUUGCUGUCCGUGCAGGAAAGCGCCUUGAAGACCAUCUCUUCCAAAGCUCCUGCUUUAGUGUUAUGUGGGACCCCAAGAGUCUACAGAUACCUUAGAGACUCUGCAGAGUAGGAUGGAGCCUAUGCAUGAAUAAAUGACCUGAGGUGGGCCCACCCUCUACGUCCCCACCAGAAAUCUCUGCAGGGAGAGAAUUUCA